AGGACGCGUUCAGCGGAUGUCAGAUCUUGCCAUGCUCUCACAAGGUUCACAGAGAAUGUGCCAUUGCAAUGAUACAGAAUGGCGUACGUAAUUGCCCAAUAUGCCGCCAUCCUCUGUAUGGUCAUCUCCAGCAGUAACUUCUUUGACUCUCGAAACAGAGUGAUACAAAUAAAACGAUUUAAGGUUUGUCCUUAAAAGAUAUUAUCGA